CAGGUCAAACCAAUUAUUUUAGGAUUUUUGCACUUUGUUUGGUUCGUGGCUUAUUCAACAUGCUUGCUUGAACGGUUCUUACAUGUACUUUGUAUCGUGAA